rnacentral:rRNA from 1 species
AUUGAACGCUGGCGGAAUGCUUUACACAUGCAAGUCGAACGGCAGCACGGGGCAACCUGGUGGCGAGUGGCGAACGGGUGAGUAAUACAUCGGAACGUGCCCAAUCGUGGGGGAUAACGUAGCGAAAGUUACGCUAAUACCGCAUACGAUCUACGGAUGAAAGCGGGGGAUCGCAAGACCUCGCGCGAAUGGAGCGGCCGAUGUCAGAUUAGGUAGUUGGUGGGGUAAAGGCUCACCAAGCCGACGAUCUGUAGCUGGUCUGAGAGGACGACCAGCCACACUGGGACUGAGACACGGCCCAGACUCCUACGGGAGGCAGCAGUGGGGAAUUUUGGGACAAUGGGCGCAAGCCUGAUCCAGCCAUUCCGCGUGCAGGAUGAAGGCCUCGGUU